GUAGUCCACGCCGUAAACGAUGUCGACUUGGAGGUUGUGCCCUUGAGGCGUGGCUUCCGGAGCUAACGCGUUAAGUCGACCGCCUGGGGAGUACGGCCGCAAGGUUAAAACUCAAAUGAAUUGACGGGGGCCCGCACAAGCGGUGGAGCAUGUGGUUUAAUUCGAUGCAACGCGAAGAACCUUACCUACUCUUGACAUCCAGAGAACUUUCCAGAGAUGGAUUGGUGCCUUCGGGAACUCUGAGACAGGUGCUGCAUGGCUGUCGUCAGCUCGUGUUGUGAAAUGUUGGGUUAAGUCCCGCAACGAGCGCAACCCUUAUCCUUUGUUGCCAGCGGUCCGGCCGGGAACUCAAAGGAGACUGCCAGUGAUAAGCCGAGA
rnacentral:rRNA from 1 species